AAGCGCCGUAUACCGAACGGUACGUACGGUGCUGGUGUGCCAUGCAAGGCACACAGAAGAUGAAGGUAGGUCCUUCGACAGGAAU
rnacentral:misc_RNA from 1 species